rnacentral:rRNA from 1 species
ACUCAANAAAAGGAUCUGAGUCCCCCCUUGAGCCUUAUAAUAACAAACACUACAACUAUAAACUCAAGAGACAUUCAAAUAAGGAACAGCCUAUUUGAAACAGGAAACAACCUCAAACACAGGGUAAUAUUUCCACAUGGUGACAAGUGGGCCUAAAAGCAGCCACCUUCCAAAAAGCGUCACAGCCUGCCACNCUACUCCUUCAUAAUCCCCUAAACAACACCAAACCCUUAAACAAUAUUGAGUGAUUCUAUACCCAUAUAGAAAACCUAAUGCUAAAACUAGUAACAAGAAGAAUUCCUUCUCCUAAAUGUAAACAUNNGCCCGUAAUACGGNACCCACCGCCAUGAACUAAAAGUACGUANNACCUNNAAAAAGUCUACUACACUAUAACGUCAACCUAACCCCAGAACAUUCCAGGAAAGAUUAAUCAAAGAGGAAGGAACUCGGCAAACCACUAAUCCCGCCUGUUUACCAAAAACACCGCCUUUUGACAAAAUAUAAAAGGUCCAGCCUGCCCAGUGACAAAAUUAAACGGCCGCGGUACCCUAACCGUGCAAAGGUAGCACAAUCACUUGUUCUCUAAAUAAGGACUAGUAUGAACGGCAUCACGAGGAUUAUGCUGUCUCCCCCAUUUAAUCAGUGAAACUGAUCCCCCCGUGAAGAAGCGGGGAUAAACUUAUAAGACGAGAAGACCCUGUGGAGCUUUAAACUAACACCACCUACCUCAAAAUACACCAUAAUAAACAAGUAAGCUUGUGUACUAGUUUUAGGUUGGGGCGACCGCGGAGUAAAACUAAACCUCCACGAUGAAAGACUUUACUUUCUAAUCCAAGAGCAACACCUCAAAGAAUCAACAAACUGACANUAUUGACCCAAUAACUUUGAUCAACGAACCAAGUUACCCCAGGGAUAACAGCGCAAUCCAUUUCAAGAGCUCAUAUCGACAAAUGGGUUUACGACCUCGAUGUUGGAUCAGGGUAUCCCAGUGGUGCAGCCGCUACUAACGGUUCGUUUGUUCAACGAUUAAACCCUACGUGAUCU